GGCGUCUUCGGCGUCCGAGUUGUAAUUUGUAGAGGAUGCUUCUGAGUAACCACCGACCUAAGUUCCUNGGAACAGGACGUCAUAGAGGGUGAGAAUCCCGUAUGCGGUCGGAAAGGUGCUCUACACGUAGCUCCUUCGACGAGUCGAGUUGUUUGGGAAUGCAGCUCUAAAUGGGAGGUAAAUUUCUUCUAAAGCUAAAUAUUGGCCAGAGACCGAUAGCGCACAAGUAGAGUGAUCGAAAGAUGAAAAGCACUUUGGAAAGAGAGUUAAAAAGCACGUGAAAUUGUUAAAAGGGAAGGGAUUGCAACCAGACUUGCUCGCGGUGUUCCGCCGGUCUUCUGACCGGUCUACUCGCCGCGUUGCAGGCCAGCAUCGUCUGGUGCCGCUGGAUAAGACUUGAGGAAUGUAGCUCCCUCGGGAGUGUUAUAGCCUCUUGUGAUGCANCGAGCGCCGGGCGAGGUCCGCGCUUCGGCUAGGAUGCUGGCGUAAUGGUUGUAAUCCGCCCG
rnacentral:rRNA from 1 species